rnacentral:rRNA from 1 species
CUAGAUACACCUUCCAGUACAUCUACUAUGUUACGACUUAUUUCACUUAUAAAUGAAAGCGACGGGCGAUAUGUACACAAUUUAGAACUUAUAUCUUUUUAACAUAUUAAAUUAAAAAUACAAUCAAAUCCACCUUUAAUAAUAAUAUUAUUUUAUUAAUCCGUAAUAAAGUAAUUUAUUGUAACCCAUUUUACCCUACAUAUAAGCUGCACCAUGAUCUAAUUUUAUUAAAUAAUUAAUUUUAAUAAUUUUUCUUUUGAGAAUUAUCUGUUAAUGAUGGUAUACAAACUGUUAAUAUUACAAAAGCAGGUAAGAUUUUUCGUGGUUUAUCGAUUCUAAAACAGGUUCCUCUGAAAAGAUUAAAUUGCCGCCAAAUUUUUUAAAUUUCAAGUAUUUAUCUUUUACUAAUUUAGGUUAAUUAAUCUAUUUUAGAAUAAUAGGGUAUCUAAUCCUAGUUUAUCACUAAAUUUUUUUAGCUUCAAUUACAAAAUUUUUUUAUACAUAGUAAUAUUCUAAUUUUACCUUUUAUUACUUGUUCAAUUUUUUUUUGAGGACAUUUAACUAAACCUUAAACUUUUUACUUAAUCUUAAAGUAUAACCGCGAAUGCUGGCACAAAUAUUAAUCAGAUUUUAUAUUAUUACUUUAUCAUACAUUUGUAUAUUAAUUAUAAUAUUUUAUGCUGAGAUAUUAUGGAAUUAUAAUUAUUUUCUCCAUUUAUCCAAUUUAAUAUUUAAUUAAAUUGUUUAAAUCACACUUUAAUUUUCAUACAAUUUUAAUAAUGACGUAAAAAUUCAAGCUAAAAUCAAACAUUUAUAAAAAGAAUCAAUUAAUACAUUUUUAUUUAAAUUUAUUUUUAUUUUUACAUUAAACUAAGAAUUUAA